GCCUUCGUGGCACAACUGGUCAGCGCGUGAGACUUUUAUGUGACACUUCCUAAAGAAGGAAUCUCAAGGUUGCGAGUUCGAGCCUCGCCGAAGGCG
rfam:Pneumocystis murina B123 supercont1.2, whole genome shotgun sequence.